UGCAGCAGAGCUGUGGCCACCAGAAGAAGGACCCGAGCAGCCUCCUGCUGAUAUAACCUCAAUUUCCCACCAAGCCUGAGCAUUUCUGACAGCUGAAAGCAUUUACCAGCGGACUGCUGAGCACAUCAAGAUGGAUACAGUUCUCUUGCUGUUUGGAUUGGGAGGAGUACAGUCUUCUCCUGAUGCUGACCAGGUGCACUGAAGUGAUGAGCUGCCAGAGGGUGGGGCACAGGACACCAGGGACCAGCAAAGCCUUUUCUGCACCUCUCAUGCCACUGAAGAGCCAUCACUCCGAUCAGAAACUGAAAUCCUGCUUUGUGCUCCUCCAGUGUGGAAAUCUGUCAGGUAAAUAGAAAUCACC